GAAUAUUGCACAAUGGGGGAAACCCUGAUGCAGCAACGCCGCGUGAGUGAAGAAGUAUUUCGGUAUGUAAAGCUCUAUCAGCAGGGACGAUAAUGACGGUACCUGACUAAGAAGCCCCGGCUAACUACGUGCCAGCAGCCGCGGUAAUACGUAGGGGGCAAGCGUUAUCCGGAUUUACUGGGUGUAAAGGGAGCGUAGACGGUCUGGUAAGUCAGGUGUGAAAGCCCGGGGCUCAACCCCGGGAUUGCACUUGAAACUACCCGACUAGAGUGCAGGAGAGGUACGUGGAAUUCCUAGUGUAGCGGUGAAAUGCGUAGAUAUUAGGAGGAACACCAGUGGCGAAGGCGGCUUACUGGACUGUAACUGACGUUGAGGCUCGAAAGCGUGGGGAGCAAACAGG
rnacentral:rRNA from 1 species